rnacentral:misc_RNA from 1 species
GGGAUCAUAUCCCCAUAUUCUCUCAUGGCUCUUAAUCUUAUUAUUAGGAUCAAAACCCUUCUUUUAGUGUCCCUAUUACUACUCCUCAUUCCCUUAUCUUCAGGCAUGGUUGAAGGCUUCAGGGAAGGCAUGAGCCCAAAUCACUCUCUUCACAAGGAUGGCAUCCAAAUGAAUACCAGCAGGAAGCUUCUGAUGGAUGUACAGGAUUAUGAUACAGGAGCUAACCCUAGACACGACCCUAGGAGGAAAAUUGGAGGCAAGCCUUAAUAUAUAUAUACACUGUCUCUUUGGAGGAGGUUUAAUUAGCUUGUACGAGGAGAUCAUAUUCUUCAGUAUAAAACUACUGUAUGGCCCAUGUGAGGGUGGC